UACGGAGGGUGCGAGCGUUGUUCGGAAUCACUGGGCGUAAAGGGCGCGUAGGCGGCGAGGAUAGUCAACGGUGAAAGCUUGGGGCUCAACCCCGAGUCGGCCGUCGAUACUUCCUUGCUUGAGCACUGUAGAGGCAGAUGGAAUUCCGGGUGUAGCGGUGGAAUGCGUAGAGAUCCGGAAGAACACCGGUGGCGAAGGCGGUCUGCUGGGCAGUAGCUGACGCUGAUGCGCGACAGCGUGGGGAGCAAACAGG
rnacentral:rRNA from 1 species